UAGGAAGUUUAAGGGCGUAUAGUGGAUGCCUUGGUUCUUGAUGGCGAUGAAAGACGCGACAGCCUGCGAUAAGCUUCGGUGAGGUGGCAAUAACCUUUGACCCGGAGAUUUCUGAAUGGGGAAACCCAACCGUAUUCAAUGACGGUUACCGAUCGUAUGAUCGGAGCAAACCUAGGGAAGUGAAACAUCUCAGUACCUAGAGGAGAAGAAAACAAUAGUUAUUUCCUGAGUAGCGGCGAGCGAAACGGAACCUAGCCCAAACCCGAAUAACCUCGCUGUGGUUAAUCACAGUAUUGAACAUAGCGAGGUGGAUCGGGGGUUGUAGGACAUUGUCUGUCGUAGAGACAAAAAGUUACAAAUUUUUUACAUAGGUGAGACACUUGGAAAGGUGUGGCAAAGAGGGUGACACCCCCGUAACCGAAAUGUGAAAAACUUUUACAAUGUUCCUGAGUACUUCGAGACACGAAUAGCUCGGAGGAAUCUGCCAGAACUAACUGGUAAGGCUAAAUACAUCAAGAGACCGAUAGUGAACUAGUACCGUGAGGGAAAGGUGAAAAGAACCCCUGUGAGGGGAGUGAAAUAGAUCUGAAACCAUACGCCUACAAGGAGUCAGCGCCGUUGUUUACAACGGUCAUGGCGUGCCUAUUGAAGAAUGAGCCAACGAGUGUAUGCAUGCGGCAGGCUAAGUGCUAUAAAGGCAUGGAGCCAAAGGGAAACCGAGUCUGAAUAGGGCGCAAUAAUUGUCGUACGCAUACGACCCGAAGCCAGGUGAGCUUACCAUGGGCAGGGUGAAGGUGGUAGAAAUAUCACUGGAGGCCCGAACCAGUUGGUCGUACGAUUCCUUUGGAUGACCUGUGGUAAGGAGUGAAAAGCUAAUCGAACCUGGUAAUAGCUGGUUCUCUCCGAAAUAGCUUUAGGGCUAGCGUCGCAUGUUCCUUUUGGGGGUAGAGCACUGGAAGGUUUCGACAGGGAGCAAUCUCGCGAAACCUAUCAAACUCCGAAUACCAAAAGCCAUAAUGCGGCAGUUACACUAUGGGGGCGAAGCUCCAUUGGUGAAAAGGGAAACAGCCCAGAUCUCAAAAUAAGGUCCCUAAAUAUAUACUAAGUGUAAAACAAGAAGGUGAGAUUUCUUAGACAAUGAGGAGGUUGGCUUAGAAGCAGCCAUCCUUUAAAGAUAGCGUAACAGCUCACUCAUCUAGAGAACUUGCGCCGCAAAUAAUCGGGGCUCAAGUGUAGUACCGAAGCUGAGGGUUUGUGCAUUUCAUAGAGGAUUUCAUUCCUCAAAAAUUUCAGGACAGGUGGUCGAGAGGCUAGACAAUAUCUUAUAAAGAUAAGUACGAUGGUUCGAACCCAUCCCCGUCCUCGAAUUUUAAUUUUUUGGUUUAGUUCAAAAAGUAACGAGAAGUAGUUCAAUGCAGAACAUCUUAAUUAUGUUGAGACUUAAAACGUUUAUCAUAUAAAGAGAUAUCGGUUCGAAUCCGAUCUUCUCGAUUCUUUAUUUAUUUUAUUAAAUCAACCGAAUACGAUUCGGAUCUUCUAUGAAAUGCAUAAGCGGUAGGAGAGUGUUGUACUCUGCGAUGAAGCGGAAGGCGUGAGCCACCGUGGAGCGUGUACAAGUAAGAAUGUUGGCACAAGUAACCGCAAGACAGGUGAAAUCCCUGUCCGCCGAAAGACUAAGGUUUCCACCGCAACGACAAUCGACGGUGGGUUAGUCGGGCCUAAGGAGAUGGCGAUAGCCGCAUCCGAUGGACACAUGGUUAAUAUUCCAUGACUUUAUUGCAAGCGAUGGAGGGACGGAGAACAAAAAUCCCCGCGCAUUAUUGGAUUUGACGUUCGUGCUGGUAGAGAGGAUAUCUAGGAAAAUCCGGAUAUCAUAUACUCUCAAAGGAGCGACGAGGUAAGCCUUCGGGUUUGCCAAGGGGGAAGCAGAGUCUUCCAAGAAAAUCUUCUAGCAUUAAUUGCAACGAAUCCGUACCGUAAACCGACACAGGUAGUCAGGUCGAGUAGACCAAGGCGAACGAGUGAGUUAUCCUCAAGGAACUCGGCAAAAAAGCAGCCGUAACUUUGGAAUAAGGCUUGCCCCCACUACUUUGGAUAGUUCCAAAAGUAUGUGGAAGAGUAAAUUGAAUUUUUAGAGACAAAAACAAAACAGAACUCUCAUUAUACAAUAGAUAGAAGUAUCUAAAGUAGUGGGGGCCGCAGCGAAAGUAUCCCUGGCGACUGUUUAUCAAAAACACAGCUCCCUGCGAAAUCGCAAGAUGAUGUAUAGGGGGUGACACCUGACCAAUGCCAGAAGGUUAAAUAUCGGUGGUGUACAGCAUCCUGUUCAUGACUUGUUCGUGAUCAGAAUGCUGUAUGCUGGCUGAUAUAAGCCCUGGUGAAUGUCGGCCGUAACUAUAACGGUCCUAAGGUAGCGAAUUACCUUGUCGGGUAAAUUCCGACGCGCACGAAUGGUGUAACGACUAGGGAACUGUCUCGAGGAUUAGCUCGGUGAAAAUACAAUACCGGUGAAGAUGCCGGUUACCUGCAGUUAGACGAAAAGACCCCGGGAGCUUUACUACAGCUUCACAUUGGGCAUAUUGAUAUUGUGCGUAGCAUAGGUGGGAGAGGUUGAAGCAUAGAUUUUGGUUUAUGUGGACUCGUCAGUGAAAUACCACUCUCAAUUUUGGUAUGUCCUAACCUGUUAGAAAAAACUAACAGAGACAGUGUGUGGUGGGUAGUUUGUUUGGGGCGAAUCCCUCCUAAAUCGUAACGGAGGGGCCUACAAAGGUCAUCUAGGCGUGAAUGGAAACCAUGCCGAUAGUGUAAUGGCAUAAGAUGGCUUGACUGCAAGACGUACAUGUCGAGCAGGCGCGAAAGCGGAGCAUAGUGAACCGACCAUACGCUUUAGACGCGGUGGAAGAUCAACGGAUAAAAGCUACCCCGGGGAUAACAGGCUAGUAUCGCCCGAGAGUUCAUAUCGACGGCGGUGUUCGGCACCUCGAUGUCGGCUCAUCUUAUCCUGGGGCUGGAGAAGGUCCCAAGGGUUCGGCUGUUCGCCGAUUAAAAAGAUACGCGAGCUGGGUUCAGACCGUUUAGGAAUUGUCAUUGAUAUAUUUAUAUAACUUUAAUGAUUCCUAUACCGUCUGAAUCCUCUCAUAAAACGACACAAUCAGGUUUUUUCGUUCUGAUAACCCGCCAGAGUUGGCGGGAUAAAAAUCCAAGUUAUACGUAUCUUGGUCUCAAUUUUAUAUUGAGAAGAUAGACCCAAUCAUUGCGGCGGUCAUAUAUGGUGACAUAUAUGACAUAUUCAACUAAUAUCGGAAAAAUCCUAAUCGAAAGAUGGACAAUUCCGAGGGAAGUAUUUGUGGAUUUCAUAGAGGAGAAGUAAUCCUUAUCGUAUUUUUUCUGAAA
rnacentral:rRNA from 1 species